rfam:Triticum aestivum genome assembly, contig: Triticum_aestivum_CS42_TGACv1_scaffold_577238_7BL
CUAGUACUCCCUUUGUCCGGAAAUACUUGUCCUAGAAAUGGAUAAAAUGGAUGUAUCUAUAACUAAAAUUAGUCUAGAUACAACCAUUCUGGGGACAAGUAUUUCCGGAUGGAUGGAGUAUAUA